rnacentral:ncRNA from 1 species
CUGAUCACAAAGGGGAGCCAAUGCGCUGAGAAUGAGUCUUACUCUAAACCCUUCGUACCUGUUUCGGUUAUGCGAACGUAGGAAUUGUGUCGAGUUGAAGU